rnacentral:misc_RNA from 1 species
AAGCUACUGGGGGAGCCGAAGCUCCCCCAAAGUGUGUGCUCUUUAUUAUUGUUUUCUGUACGGGCUUUUUGUUUUUGUUGAGUGCCCAUUCACGAGACUUUCGUCUGUGAAACCUCCCAAUCGGGAGUCAAGAGCAAACGGAUUGCUUUGGUCGCUGCGUUGCAAUGAUCGUUCGAUCCAACCAGUUCAGGCGCUACCUAAGGGUAGUU